CCGCCCGUCACAUCAUGGGAGUUGGCUUUACCCGAAGGCGGGUGCGCUAACCAGCAAUGGAGGCAGCCGACCACGGUAGGGUCAGCGACUGGGAUG
rnacentral:rRNA from 1 species